AUACGGAGGGUCCAAGCGUUAUCCGGAAUCAUUGGGUUUAAAGGGUUCGUAGGCGGGUCAAUAAGUCAGAGGUGAAAUCUUGCAGCUUAACUGUAAAAUUGCCUUUGAAACUGUUGACCUUGAAUUACUGUGAAGUGGUUAGAAUAUGUAGUGUAGCGGUGAAAUGCUUAGAGAUUACAUAGAAUACCGAUUGCGAAGGCAGAUCACUAACAGUAUAUUGACGCUGAUGAACGAAAGCGUGGGUAGCGAACGGGAUUAGAUACCCCGGUAGUCC
rnacentral:rRNA from 1 species